GUAAUGCGGGUUGUAGUUCAGGAAAACGAAGCCGCGCUGCUGGUCGAUGAUGUGGAAGAGGGGAUUCCACCAGAACCAGGACAAAAGCCAGGUCGGCGUGGCAUUGGCCAGGAACAUCUUGCCCGAGGCGAUGACGUCCA
rnacentral:ncRNA from 1 species